GCGGCUCAAUGAAAUAGGUCUCUUCCUUUGGUAGUAUAGAUAUGCAGGCGUUGCUGUAAUUUUCUACUUAGAAAUGAAAAGUUUACAAUUAGGUAGCUGAAAUCAUCACUUUUGUCGUAAAGUUUGUUCUCAAUUGACCCUCAUCGUCGAUUGUAAAAUAUGUAAUAGAGUUAACUGUAUCUGUUGAGUUUUUUAUUUUCAAUUUCAAUAGAUUUGAUAGACUGUCAAAGCUUUGUUGAAAGGAAC
rnacentral:lncRNA from 1 species